GUAACGCAAUGGAUUGCGCGUUGGACUUCCAAUCCAAAGGUCAUGGGUUCGAAUCUCACUUCCG